rnacentral:lncRNA from 1 species
AUGGAGAAGCUGAAACCUACAGGCUGUACAGAGGUAUCUCAGGUCAUACCUUUGGUUCAAAUAAAACCCAGAACAGAAGAACUGGAAAGACUGCAGAUUCCAGCAAAAUUAGUGCAGUGGACAUUCUUAGACACUGAUUCUACUAGGAAGGCAAAACGGAGAAUUGAGGGAAUCAUACAGAAAAUUCAGGAAAAAGCAAGCCUGUGUUCUCCACACGGAUUGAGUUUUACAGUUCUAUUUGUCCAGGUAAUUACCUCAAUUGUCCUCCUCUCUCUGUAAGUGAACACUCCUCAUCAUACAGAUAUAAGUAUCUUCUCUCUCUUUCUCUCUCUCUCUCUCUCUCUGUUUUAGAGAGAGAAAGGAAUGUGAGAGAGUGGGGGAGAGUGGCGAUGGGGGGGUUGGAGAGAGAGAGAGAGAGAGAGAGAGAGAAUCACAGGCAAGCUCCAUGCUCAGCAUGGAGUCCAAUACAGUUCAGGAUCAUGACCCAAGCUGAAAUACAGAGUCAGACACUCAACGAGCCACCCAGGUGCCCAGAUGUAUGUACAUUCCAAGUUCAGUUCAAUAUAACUGAGAUGCUUCUGAAUGUCUGUCCCAAGAAAGAAAAGACUUUGUCUUCUGUAUUACUGUAAGCCCAGCACCUGAACAAUGCCUAGUAUUCCAUAGGCACUCCAUAAAUAUUUGUUGAAUGAAUCGAUGAAUGAAAAAAUAAGCCAAAGAAUGGAUAACAUUUCUCCAUUCAUGAAUUUGUCUUUCAUGACGAUCAAAUAACUGCAACUGAGUUGCCGUAUGGAAACUUAAGGAAAACUUUUAUUUAUGAACUCCACUCUCAGCUCAGUUGACUGUGCAUUGAAAUUUCUCAUACUUGCACUUACCUCUUAAAACUAUAUGAACAUAUCAUGCUAUCAUUGCUAGAUUAUAAAUGAUAAAAUUCCAGCAGUAUGACUCCUGUCUGUCCCUAUCAGGAAAAGUUGCUCAUCUAUUUGGAGCCUGUUUGGCUGUAAAACCUCUGUAUAUUAAAUUCUAAAUCCACUUAAUUAGCUUCUCUAAUCUUCAUUAUAUAAAACUCAGUCCCAUCUGAUGGGAAUAUAAAAUAAAAACAACCUCUCUGACA